rnacentral:snoRNA from 2 species
CCCCUCUCAGAGUCACACCUGGAGAGUUUCCAGUACUCUACCAGUCUUGACUAUGGGCGGGAGAGUCAAGCAGAGGCCUGCCUGUCUAUUCCAUUCCUAGCUUGGGCAGUAGCUAGCAAGUGGAAGGCAAUCUGCUACCCAU